rnacentral:rRNA from 1 species
UGGCUUAGAAGCAGCCACCAUUGAAAGAGUGCGUAAUAGCUCACUGGUCGAGUGACCCCGCGCCGAAAAUGUACCGGGGCUAAACAUAUUACCGAAACUGUGGAUGAACCUCUUUAGAGGUUCGUGGUAGGAGAGCGUUCUAAGGGCGGUGAAGUCAGACCGGAAGGACUGGUGGAGCGCUUAGAAGUGAGAAUGCCGGUAUGAGUAGCGAAAGAAGGGUGAGAAUCCCUUCCACCGAAUAUCUAAGGUUUCCUGAGGAAGGCUCGUCCGCUCAGGGUUAGUCGGGACCUAAGCCGAGGCCGAUAGGCGUAGGCGAUGGACAACAGGUAGAGAUUCCUGUACCAGUGCUAAUUGUUUAACCGAUGGGGUGACACAGAAGGAUAGGGAAUCGCACGAAUGGAAAUGUGCGUCCAAGCAGUGAGUGUGAGAAGUAGGCAAAUCCGCUUCUCGCGAAGCAUGAGCUGUGAUGGGGAAGGAAAUUAAGUACGGAAGUUCCUGAUUUCACGCUGUCAAGAAAAGCCUCUAGGAAGAGUAGUACUGCCCGUACCGCAAACCGACACAGGUAGAUGAGGAGAGAAUCCUAAGGUGAGCGAGAGAACUCUCGUUAAGGAACUCGGCAAAAUGACCCCGUAACUUCGGGAGAAGGGGUGCUCUAUU